rnacentral:rRNA from 1 species
UCUUGAUUUUAUAAGAGUUAUUAUAAUAUUUAAGUUUAUGUUAUAAAAUAAUUUUAUAUAUUAUAAUAGAAAUGAAAUGUUAUUCGUUUUUAAAGGUAUCUAGUUAUUUAAGAAAUGAAUUUAAUUCAGAAAUAUUAAUUUAUUUAUUUUUUUAUAAAAUAAAUACUUUAUUAUUUUUAAUGUUUUACGGGAUAAGCUGUAAAACAAAUUUAUUAAAAAUUUAAUUAAAUAAUAUAAAAAUAUAUGCUUAGAAAUAGCAAGUAUUUAUAAUUAUGUUAUAAUUUAUUUAUAGUUUAAGAUUAUUUAUUAAAAUUUUAAUUUUUUUAUUAAAUUUUUUAUUUUAAUUUUAAAAAUUAAUUAAUAAUGAUUAAAUUAGUAUAUUUAUUGUAUAAAUAAAUUUAUUUGUGAAGUUUUUAUAAAGAAUUCGGCAAAUUUAGUAUUCGCCUGUUUAACAAAAACAUGUCUUUUGGUAUUUAAUAAAAAGUCUGACCUGCCCAUUGAGUAGUUUAAAGGCCGCAGUAUAUUAACUGUGCAAAGGUAGCAUAAUCAUUAGUCUUUUAAUUGAAGGCUAGAAUGAAUGGUUGGACGAGAUAUUUACUGUUUCAUAAGAAUUUAUAAUAGAAUUUUAUUUUUUAGUCAAAAAGCUAAAAUAAAUUUAAAAGACGAGAAGACCCUAUAAAUCUUUAUAUAUUAAUUUGUUUAAAAGUUAUGUAGAAAUUUUAAAUUUUAUACAUUUUAUAUAUUUUAUUGGGGUGAUAUUAAAAUUUAAUAAACUUUUAGUAAAUUAUUUCAUUUAUUUAUGAAUUAUUGAUCCAGUUUUAUUGAUUAAAAAUUUAAGUUACUUUAGGGAUAACAGCGUAAUUUUUUUGGAGAGUUCAUAUCGAUAAAAAAGAUUGCGACCUCGAUGUUGGAUUAAGAUAUAAUUUUAGGUGUAGCCGUUUAAAUUUUAAGUCUGUUCGACUUUUAAAUUCUUACAUGAUCUGAGUUCAAACCGGCGUAAGCCAGGUUGGUUUCUAUCUUUAAAUAAUUAUUAUAUUUUAGUACGAAAGGAUUGAGUAUAAAAAUUAAUAAAUUUUUAAAAAGAAUUUUAUUAAUAA